GAUGAGGUAGAUAGGUUCGAGGUGGAAGUGUGGUGACACAUGGAGCUGACGAAUACUAAUCGAUCGAGGACUUAACCAAAA
rnacentral:rRNA from 1 species